AUGAGCUCCGCCAUCGCCCACUCGAGGAGCGCGAAGGUCGAGUCCGUGGCGGCGGCGAGCACGUCCAAGAUGAUGGACUUGAUGCUGUCCGUGCCCAGCUCGUCGGCGUCCAGCCAGCAUCACGUCCACGAAGUCUUCCUCGUCCCUGGUGGCGGUGGCAACACGGCGUCGCUGGCGGUGGUCGGUGAUGACCCGCUCCAGCAGCCCGUCCAUCUCCUGGAAGACUCGUCUCGCCCUCCGCUCCAGUCCCGUCACCGUGUCCACCCAUCCCAGCCACGGCACCGUCUCCCCCAUGGGCACCGUUCCGAGGAGCUCCUCCAUCUCGCCGAACGCCUUCCUCAGCCUCGCGCCGCCGCCUUCCACCCCGCAGUCCGCGUCGCCGAGCGUGCAGCGGGAGAUGACCGCGUUGGAGUAGACGACGAGGUUGUCGCUCAGGUUCACGACGCCGGAACCAGCCCGGCGGACCCGGCCGACGAGCGCGGCGGCCUCCUGCGCCCGGACGCGGCCCAGGGACGCGACGCGGCGCGCGCUGAGCAUGUGGGCGGCGCAGACGCGGCGCGCCUGGCGCCAGUGGUCGCCGUAGGGCGCGAAGCCGAUGCCGCCGGUGCCGUAGUAGAAGCGGUCGACCAUGAGGAGCCUGGGGCGGCCGGCGAAGUCCAGGUCGCGGGUCUUCAUGGCCUCCUCCGCCGCGGCCGCGGAGGAGGCCACGACGGCGGGCACGCGGCCGAGCCGCAGGUGCAUGACCGGGCCGUGGGACGCGGCCAGCGACCGGAGGCUCCGGUGCGGCAGGCUCCCGAGCAGGUGGAGGUGGCCGACGACCGGCAGGCCCCGCGGCGACGGGGGCAGCCGCAGCGCACUGCUGCUGCGCCUGGUGGAGACGAGGAGGGUGAUCACCACGAGAAGGAAGGCGAGGACGGUGGUGAGCACGGGCGAGUUCAACGGCUCGACCACCAUUUCUGCAACCAUUCCCAAGCUUAA
rnacentral:rRNA from 1 species